rnacentral:rRNA from 1 species
GACGAACGCUGGCGGCGUGCUUAACACAUGCAAGUCGAACGGAAAGGCCCUGCUUGCAGGGUACUCGAGUGGCGAACGGGUGAGUAACACGUGGGUGAUCUGCCCUGCGCUUCGGGAUAAGCCUGGGAAACUGGGUCUAAUACCGGAUAGGAGCCAUUUUUAGUGUGAUGGUUGGAAAGUUUUUUCGGUGUAGGAUGAGCUCGCGGCCUAUCAGCUUGUUGGUGGGGUAAUGGCCUACCAAGGCGGCGACGGGUAGCCGGCCUGAGAGGGUGGACGGCCACAUUGGGACUGAGAUACGGCCCAGACUCCUACGGGAGGCAGCAGUGGGGAAUAUUGCACAAUGGGCGCAAGCCUGAUGCAGCGACGCCGCGUGGGGGAUGACGGCCUUCGGGUUGUAAACUCCUUUCGCUAGGGACGAAGCUUUUGUGACGGUACCUAGAUAAGAAGCACCGGCUAACUACGUG